rnacentral:rRNA from 1 species
UCGAACGGGAUCCAUCGGGCUUUGCUUGGUGGUGAGAGUGGCGAACGGGUGAGUAAUGCGUGACCGACCUGCCCCAUACACCGGAAUAGCUCCUGGAAACGGGUGGUAAUGCCGGAUGUUCCAGUUGAUCGCAUGGUCUUCUGGGAAAGCUUUCGCGGUAUGGGAUGGGGUCGCGUCCUAUCAGCUUGACGGCGGGGUAACGGCCCACCGUGGCUUCGACGGGUAGCCGGCCUGAGAGGGCGACCGGCCACAUUGGGACUGAGAUACGGCCCAGACUCCUACGGGAGGCAGCAGUGGGGAAUAUUGCACAAUGGGCGCAAGCCUGAUGCAGCGACGCCGCGUGAGGGAUGGAGGCCUUCGGGUUGUAAACCUCUUUUAUCGGGGAGCAAGCGUGAGUGAGUUUACCCGUUGAAUAAGCACCGGCUAACUACGUGCCAGCAGCCGCGGUAAUACGUAGGGUGCAAGCGUUAUCCGGAAUUAUUGGGCGUAAAGGGCUCGUAGGCGGUUCGUCGCGUCCGGUGUGAAAGUCCAUCGCUUAACGGUGGAUCCGCGCCGGGUACGGGCGGGCUUGAGUGCGGUAGGGGAGACUGGAAUUCCCGGUGUAACGGUGGAAUGUGUAGAUAUCGGGAAGAACACCAAUGGCGAAGGCAGGUCUCUGGGCCGU